UUAUAGCCCUGAUCGGAGCGGGCAUCCCGGCUUUUCGCCGGGAUAAAGCGGAGAGCAGGAAUAACA
rnacentral:sRNA from 2 species